GGCUGGUUUGAAGGCAGUGAGUUAUCUCAACUAAUCAAACUCCUUGUUCUACUCUUUCCCCUCUUCUCACUACUGUACUUGACUACUCUAAA
ensembl:misc_RNA Y_RNA Y RNA